rnacentral:rRNA from 1 species
CUAACACAUUCAAGUCGAACGGAGUUAUUACGAAUGAAGUUUUCGGAUGGAUUUUGUUUUAACUUAGUGGCGGACGGGUGAGUAACGCGUGAGCAACCUGCCUUUGCAUUCGGGAUAACAGCUGGAAACGACUGCUAAUACCGAAUAACGUACAUUGAUUGCAUGUUUAAUGUACCAAAGAUCCGUCGUGCAAAGAUGGGCUCGCGUCUGAUUAGAUAGUUGGUGAGGUAACGGCUCACCAAGUCAACGAUCGGUAGCCGGACUGAGAGGUUGAACGGCCACAUUGGAACUGAGAUACGGUCCAGACUCCUACGGGAGGCAGCAGUGGGGAAUAUUGGGCAAUGGGCGAAAGCCUGACCCAGCGACGCCGCGUGUGGGAAGAAGGUCUUCGGAUUGUAAACCUCUGUUGAUAGGGAAGAAGAAAGUGACGGUACCUAUCGAGGAAGUCACGGCUAACUACGUGCCAGCAGCCGCAGUAAAAC